UCAAUACUGCUAGCUGUGACGUUAACAACAGAAGAAGCACCGGCUAACUCCGUGCAGCAGCGCGUAAUACGGAGGGUGCGAGCGUUAAUCGGAAUUACUGGGCGUAAAGCGCACGCAGGCGGUCUGUUAAGCUAGAUGUGAAAGCCCCGCGCUCAACGUGGGAGGGUCAUUUAGAACUGGCAGACUAGAGUCUUGGAGAGGGGAGUGGAAUUCCAGGUGUAGCGGUGAAAUGCGUAGAGAUCUGGAGGAACAUCAAUGGCGAAGGCAACUCCCUGGCCAAAGACUGACGCUCAUGUGCGAAAGUGUGGGUAGCGAACAGGAUUAGAUACCCUGGUAGUCCACACCGUAAACGCUGUCUACUAGCUGUUUGUGGAUUUAAUCCGUGAGUAGCGAAGCUAACGCGAUAAGUAGACCGCCUGGGGAGUACGGCCGCCAGGUUAAAACUCAAAUGAAUUGACGGGGGCCCGCACAAGCGGUGGAGCAUGUGGUUUAAUUCGAUGCAACGCGAAGAACCUUACCUACUCUUGACAUACUAGAAACUUUUCAGAGAUGAAUUGGUGCCUUCGGGAAUCUAGAUACAGGUGCUGCAUGGCUGUCGUCAGCUCGUGUCGUGAGAUGUUGGGUUAAGUCCCGCAACGAGCGCAACCCUUGUCCUUAGUUACCAGCAUUAAGUUGGGUACUUUAAGGAGACUGCCGGUGACAAACCGGAGGAAGGUGGGGACGACGUCAAGUCAUCAUGGCCCUUACGAGUAGGGCUACACACGUGCUACAAUGGCGAGUACAAAGGGAUGCAAACUGGUGACAGUAAGCGGACCCCUUAAAGCUCGUCGUAGUCCGGAUUGGAGUCUGCAACUCGACUCCAUGAAGUCGGAAUCGCUAGUAAUCGUAGGUCAGCAUACUACGGUGAAUACGUUCCCGGGCCUUGUACACACCGCCCGUCACACCAUGGGAGUGGGAUGCAAAAGAAGUAGGUAGCUUAACCUUC
rnacentral:rRNA from 1 species